AAAAAAAAUUUAUAAACUUAUAUCCUGUACUUGUAUACAGAGCAUCUCUAUCAGGCAUAUGCUAUUAGCUCACAAUUAAUGUUCACACGAUUUCCAUUUUCCCUCUCUUUUGGAUAUUUACACUUCUCAACUGGUUUCACAUGCACUCCAUGAUUACAUAAUAUGAGGCAAGAAAAUUUUCAAAACUGGGGCCUUGGAAGAUAUUUCGAUGGUAUCCCCAUAUCGGAUAGAGUGAAAUACAUGAGAGCCAUCUAUAUAUAUUAAACCCUUCUCAGAAAACCAUCUGGCUUCCAUGGACUGAUCUGAUUUUAUUAUCCCAUGCAUUAGGCUAGAGAUGGCGGCUCCAGGUGAAAUAGGCUCUCUUACCAUGUAUUGGAGGUCCUGAGAUAAAAUAGGCAUUACAAAUCCACCUGCUGAGAGCAUUGCAGCAGUUGAUCCGGCAGCAGUUGAGACUCUGAGACCACUUGAUCGGCAAUUUGCUAAUGGAGUACAUGAUUCACCAUCCCUUUGGAUUCUGCCAAGAAGUACAAAAUGGAAUAGCAUGGGAUACCAAAGUAAUAAAUAUAACGCGUGUUAGCUCAAGUUCAAUUGGGAAUCUCUUACUUGAAUGAGAACCGUGAAACUGUUGCAGGACAUGGAUGUGCGAUCAAUAUGUCAUUAAGAGCAUAUGUUGACAGCAGUUGUGAAUUUGCACUUACUGACAUCCUUGAUAUAUUAGAAGGAAUUUUUUGACCCCCAAGGAUGUCAUCCAGUACUUGCUCAAAGUUUUUGACAGUAGCUGCACAUAGAUGGCCAGUACUUCUAGUAGCGUCAAAAUCACCGCUGAAUUCCUCCACCUCUUCAACUUGUGUGGGGUCUGAGUUCACUCCAAGAACUGGAAUUGAGUCAUCCAUGAAAUGACUUGCUUGCAAAAGAGUGCCAUCACCACCAACAGUAAUGACUAAAUCGAAACCACGAAUUGGUUGCAAAAGAUCAGUGCGUAAAAUGGGUUCCCAAUCAACUGACUUCUGCCGCAAAAUGUCUUGACAGAAGUUUACGGCAUCCUUGUGAACCUUACGCCUAUUAUCCAGAUAGCGUAACACCUGAGGAUUGGUGAUGGAAGGGAGGUUCUUAGAUUGGCCAAACGGGUAAACGUUAAAUGGUUUCAAGAGCAACAACAGCCUCCGUAUUGCCAUCUCUUGAAUUCUGUCUCUCGUGGGUAAAGCGCUAAAACAAGAAGAGAAGUGUUUUCAGUUAGAGAUUUGUGAGGUGGGUUAAGAGGAGCUAGCGUGAGAAUUGAGCUGAUUUGGAGCUUCAGUUCAGAUUCUGUCAACACUUCACAAUAAGCGU
rnacentral:misc_RNA from 1 species